rnacentral:tRNA from 1 species
GUCAGGAUAGCUCAGCUG